rnacentral:rRNA from 1 species
UACAGAGGUCUCAAGCGUUGUUCGGAUUCAUUGGGCGUAAAGGGUGCGUAGGCGGCGCGGUAAGUCGGGGUGUGAAAUCUCGGGCUUAACUCCGAAACUGCAUUCGAUACUGCCGUGCUUGAGGACUGGAGAGGAGACUGGAAUUUACGGUGUAGCGGUGAAAUGCGUAGAUAUCGUAAGGAAGACCAGUGGCGAAGGCGGGUCUCUGGAC